UAAGCGGAGGAAAAGAAACUAACAAGGAUUCCCCUAGUAACUGCGAGUGAAGCGGGAAAAGCUCAAAUUUAAAAUCUGGCGGCCUUUGGCCGCCCGAGUUGUAAUUUAGAGAAGCGUCUUCCGCGCCGGACCGUGCACAAGUCUCCUGGAAUGGAGCGUCAUAGAGGGUGAGAAUCCCGUCUUUGGCACGGAUGCCUGGUGCUUCUGUGAUGCGCUCUCGAAGAGUCGAGUUGUUUGGGAAUGCAGCUCAAAAUGGGUGGUGAACUCCAUCUAAAGCUAAAUAUUGGCGAGAGACCGAUAGCGAACAAGUACCGUGAGGGAAAGAUGAAAAGCACUUUGGAAAGAGAGUGAAACAGUACGUGAAAUUGUUGAAAGGGAAACGCUUGAAGUCAGUCGCGUCGACCGAGACUCAGCCUUGCCUUGGCUUGGUGUACUUCUCGGCCCGACGGGUCAGCGUCAAUUUUGCUCCUCGGAUAAUGGCAAGGGAAAGGUGGCACCUUCACGGGUGUGUUAUAGUCUCCUGUCGCAUGCGAGGGGUGGGAUUGAGGAACUCAGCGCGCACCUCAGGUGUCGGGGCUUCUGCCCACGUCACGCGCUUAGGAUGCUGGCGUAAUGGCUUUAAACGACC
rnacentral:rRNA from 1 species